AUGCCGCUGCAGCCGAGUCCUGUGUGGCUUCCCAUCGACCUCAAUGUCACCAAAAGAUGUAUAAUGUACAAACUGCUCGUCUUGGAGGACGCCAGGAAUACACUGGACAAACAACUACGACGUUUAACCGAAAAGGCCAACGUGGAAGUCCGAAGCUUCCUGAGCGCGCCUCAUCCUAUCAAUGUGCUGGACAACCUCGUCAGGUCUCUGGAUGCUAAAUGUUAUGCCAUCGAGAAACUUUCAACUGCACUCAAAAACCUGACGACUGAUCCACAAUUCAGUGCCCCAGCUUCCACCAGACCGCUAAACAGCCUGUUGCAGCCAGCGCUAUCCAGAGACCGAGGCAUCAUGACAUCGUCAGACGUGCUGAAGUUUGGUCCCAUGCUGCAGAACGUCCUCAUGGCCGGCUCCAUCACCAAGGCAGUACAGAUGCUGGGAGCCUUGCCUGCCCUACAGCAACUCAAACUCUUCUGCUCCUCUUCCUCCUCUCAAGAUGAAGACUUCCAGAAGGAUCAGGUCUUUAUAUGCAGCAUCUCCUCCUCCAGCAAAGUGGCAAAGCUCCCAACCCCCAGCUCCUCAACCAGCGUAGCCAGUCUGAAUCUGACCAAAGACAAUGGGAUCUUUAUCUCCAAGGAGAAGACACCGCAGCAGCCAAAUACAACGACGGUUACAACCAAUCAAAUCAAAGAGAGCAGUCAAAUCAAACAAACACCCGGAGCAACAGAUCUAGACCUACCUGUCCCAGGUGAGCUCCUCUCAGGGUUCAGUAACCCAGCCUACCAGAUGACAGCCCUGGCUCCUCCCCCUCUAGAUUCAGGAAGUGACACCAGAGUGCAGCACCAGAAGCAAACUUCCUCUCAGCUCAUGCAAUUCCUGCGAACCAAUUGCAGGAACGAGCCGUUCACGGAGUUGGCCGCUUUCUUCCAGCACACCAGCUACUACCAGUACACCUCUGAUUCCACCGCCCCGGCAAUGACCUCUGACCCCCUCCUGGAAACAAAGCAUGCCCAGGAAACCCAGAAUGUUCUAGAAACUAAGAACCACAACGUCAGCGUCCCAAAGAAGGAGCUGUUCUCAGAGCUGCCAGAUAACCCGCUGAACCAAUAUGCCCCGGUGUUCACAGUAAAGCGUGUGGAGUCCGGAGGCUCUCUGAUCUUCAGCUGUAUCAUUGCCACCAAGACGGAGCUCUGGGACGUAGGAGACGUCUUUACCGAGGCGUCAAGGAGCGAUCCUUCCUCUGACGUCGUCACCACCUCGGAGAACAAGAUGUCUGCCGCUAGUCUCCAGUGUCGCAGUGUAGAGAUCUCUAAUACGACCCUCCAACCCCCAGCUCCAUCCAUCCACAGCCUACAGAUCAAAGAGGGACAUGUGACGGGGGAGGUUCAGGAAGAUAUCAACAAUAUCAGUCUGACUCCA
rnacentral:lncRNA from 13 species